UACGAAGGGGGCUAGCGUUGCUCGGAAUCACUGGGCGUAAAGGGCGCGUAGGCGGACUCUUAAGUCGGGGGUGAAAGCCCAGGGCUCAACCCUGGAAUUGCCUUCGAUACUGGGAGUCUUGAGUUCGGAAGAGGUUGGUGGAACUGCGAGUGUAGAGGUGAAAUUCGUAGAUAUUCGCAAGAACACCAGUGGCGAAGGCGGCCAACUGGUCCGAAACUGACGCUGGGGCGCGAAAGCGUGGGGAGCAAGCAGG
rnacentral:rRNA from 1 species